UACGUAGGGUGCAAGCGUUGUCCGGAGUUAUUGGGCGUAAAGCGCGCGCAGGCGGCGUCGUAAGUGUCGGAUGAAAUCCCACGGCUUACCCGUGGAACGGUCCGGCAUACUGCGGUGCUAGAGGAUGGUAGAGGAGAGCGGAACUCUUGGUGGAGCGGUGAAAUGCGUAGAUAUCAAGAGGAACACCGGUGGCGAAGGCGGCUCUCUGGUCCAUGUCUGACGCUGAGGUACGAAAGCUAGGGGAGCAAACGGG
rnacentral:rRNA from 1 species